rnacentral:rRNA from 1 species
UUAAAUUGAAGAGUUUGAUCAUGGCUCAGAUUGAACGCUGGCGGCAGGCCUAACACAUGCAAGUCGAACGGUAACAGGAAGCAGCUUGCUGCUUGGCUGACGAGUGGCGGACGGGUGAGUAAUGUCUGGGAAACUGCCUGAUGGAGGGGGAUAACUACUGGAAACGGUGGCUAAUACCGCAUAACGUCGCAAGACCAAAGAGGGGGACCUUCGGGCCUCUUGCCAUCAGAUGUGCCCAGAUGGGAUUAGCUGGUUGGUGAGGUAACGGCUCA